AGCACGCAUCCGUGGUAGAGUGACUAUAAAAAGCAGAUAUAUUCCCGUUAGACAACAAAUUUUGUUUUUGUUAAAAACGAGGAGGUAUGUCUAUCUUUACGUUUCCAGUGUCGAAAGAGCAACGGAAAUGGAGACACGAGAUCUAUAUUGGAUUAUAAAAAUGUUACCUGCAGCAGAUAGUACUACCAAAUCAAAGUAUUUUCCACUGCCAUCUGAAACAGACUUGAAUAGACAAAUAUAAGUAACGAACACUUAAACUAGAAGAGGCGCCUGAACUCUAAAUAGACGAAACUGGG